rnacentral:rRNA from 1 species
GCGCGAAAACUUCGCAAUGCGCGAAAGCGUGACGAGGUUAGCCCGAGUGCCGUCCGCUGAGGAUGGCUUUUCUUUGGUGUAAGGAACCAGGGGAAUAAGAGGAGGGUAAGUCUGGUGUCAGCCGCCGCGGUAAUACCAGCUUCUCGAGUGGUGGGGGCGAUUAUUGGGCCUAAAGCGUCCGUAGCCUGCUUUGUAAGUCCUCCGUUAAAUCCGACGAUUCAAUCGUUGGGCUGCGGAGGAUACUGUAGAGCUAGGGGGCGGAAGAGGCAGGCGGUAUUCUUAGGGUAGGGGUGAAAUCCUAUAAUCCUAGGAGGACCACCAGUGGCGAAGGCGGCCUGCUAGAACGCGCCCGACGGUGAGGGACGAAAGCUGGGGGAGCAAACCGGAUUAGAUACCCGGGUAGUCCCAGCUGUAAACGAUGCAGACUAGGUGUUGGAGUGGCUACGUGCCGCUUCAGUGCCGCAGAGAAGUCAUUAAGUCUGCCGCCUGGGGAUACGGUCGCAAGGCUGAAACUUAAAGGAAUUGGCGGGGGAGCAACCG